rnacentral:rRNA from 1 species
GGGCCCGCACAAGCGGUGGAGCAUGUGGUUUAAUUCGAUGAUACGCGAGGAACCUUACCAGGGCUUAAAUGUAACGGGACAGAUCUAGAGAUAGAUCCUUCUUCGGACUCAUUACAAGGUGCUGCAUGGUUGUCGUCAGCUCGUGCCGUGAGGUGUCAGGUUAAGUCCUAUAACGAGCGCAACCCCCAUCGUUAGUUGCCAACGAGUAAUGUCGGGAACUCUAACGAAACUGCCGGUGCAAACCGAGAGGAAGGUGGGGAUGACGUCAAAUCAUCACGGCCCUUACGUCCUGGCCUACACACGUGCUACAAUGGCCGGUACAGAGAGCAGCCACUACGCGAGUAGGAGCG